rnacentral:lncRNA from 1 species
GCAAGAUACGUAAAAUUUUACCGUCACGUCAGUCCAAUCGGUACUACUUAUUAGUUAUUAUUUACGUCAAGCGGUCAGCGGGUAGUGCUGGAAGUGAUAUCGCUGGGCAAGUGGCUCGGACGGAUUAAUUUCGCGCCCUCGAAGCUGUGUUCCUUCGUGAUCCUAAAAUCUCAAAAUUCGUCGAAUUUGGCAGGUGAAAAUUGCUGUCCAAGUUGUCGGCAAUUGCUGUGUGACGUCGAAGAAACUCCCGACUUGUGUUUUCCGAGUUAUGACUUUAGCUCGCGUUAGGUAAGUCGCGAUAUCACCAAUUACGAUUCUGAACUUAUGGUUUUAGUGAAGGAGCCUAGCUGUGUUCUUAAAAAUUUUGGCUGUUAGUUUGAGCGCGGCUCUGGAAUUCAUUCUUCCGAAACCGUCGCAAAGUAGUUAAACGGUUCAAAUGUUGUGUUUUCUGUGAUAGUUUACGUACCUGUUUUACAAAGUCGAUUAUUUUUGUUGGGUUUUCCUGAGCUCCAAGGAUUGCAGCCAUGAAAACAUUCACUAAGGUGAGUCAGUAUUUUUCCGUCUUCGUCAUAGUUUCCAGUUAUAAACAAGACUUCAUGGUUUGCUCAAGUUGGCAGCACAUUAGCCUACAACUUUCCAUUUUCAUUAGCAGAAUACGUGGAUCAAAUUACACAUUUUCCGAGCGAGUAUUGAAUCAUCCAUUUUUAUUGCUUUUAGUGGGUUUUUUUUUCCUUCUUUUUUUCUCAAUAUACAGGGUGGCCCAGACCUACCGUACCAGGCCUUUUUUUUCGGUUAAUUUAGGUUGUAUGAAGUCCCGGAUCGCGGGGAUGAAAAGGAAAUCGACCCCAAGGAAUCCGAAUUUUAUGGUCCCAGAGCCCCCCUGGCGUCCUUUGGGGGGUAAAAGGGGGGUCCGUA